CCUACGGGUGACAGCAGUGGGGAAUAUUGCACAAUGGGCGAAAGCCUGAUGCAGCAACGCCGCGUGAGCGAUGAAUGCCUUCGGGUCGUAAAGCUCUGUCCUCAAGGAAGAUCAUGACGGUACUUGAGGAUUAAGCCCCGGCUAACUACGUGCCAGCAGCCGCGGUAAUACGUAGUGGGCUAGCGUUAUCCGGAAUUACUGGGCGUAAGGGGUGCGUAGUUGGUUUCUUAAGUCAGUGGUUAAAGGCUACGGCUCAACCGUAGUAAGACUUUGAAACUGGGAAACUUGAGUGCAGGAGAGGAGAGUGGAAUUCCUAGUGUAGCGGUGAAAUGCGUAGAUAUUAGGAGGAACACCAGUUGCGAAGGCGGCUCUCUGGACUGUAACUGACACUGAGGCACGAAAGCGUGGGGAGCAAACAGGAUUAGAUACCCUGGUAGUC
rnacentral:rRNA from 1 species